UGACAAUAAAGAUGAUGUCUAAAUUGGUAUGUCUUGGGAAGAAAAGAGACAAUAGGAGAUAUGAGGGACACUAGAGAUCUUUGAGACAAAGUUUUUUUUUUUCACUUGUCUGAGUCCUCUAUAAUCUUACCAACUGUCAACAUCAGCA